AAUGAAGAGUGCCAAACAUGCAGGAGGUUUUUGUACCAGCAGUAAUAGGGAUUGUAUCACUGUGGUGCACUUUUGGUAGCGGCACAAGACUAGAUGUUGGAAGUAACAGUGCCCCCACCCUCACCGUCCUGCCCCCCUCUAGUGAGGAGCUGUCCAGUACAACAACAGCCACACUGACGUGUCUGGCCAACAAGGGCUUCCCCUCAGACUGGACCAUAAGAUGGAAAGUGGACGGGACCAGCCAGAAGCAGGAGGCCAGUUCUAGGGUCCUGGAGAAGGAUGGCCUGUACAGCUGGAGCAGCACCCUGACUCUCACUGGCCAGGAGUGGACCAAGGCAGGAGAGGUGACCUGUGAAGCUCAGCAGAAUUCCCAGAAUCCAGUCACCAAGACCUUGAGGAGGGCUGACUGUUCUGGGUAGGACCCCUCAGUCACA